CUUCAAUUAACAUCUGAGCGUUCCGAGCUGCUGAUGCGACGAAUGUGUGCGAUUUGCAGCAGCAACGGCGACGACGACGUCGCUUGUUUACAUCAGUCAUGCUUGCACGGACGACGCCGGGUGCGACGACUGCCGCCUACUGCGACGGCGCAGACGUUGCGUUAGUGUGCAUCAUGACGGUAGCCAGGUUAACAAACCCAAGGAUGGAAUUCCGUAGAUAUUGGUCCUUGAGCAAGAUAAAACAAAAUUAAUGAUUCUUGCUAAAUUACUAUUAUUUAAUGUUUAUUAUUUUGCAAACAAUCCAUAUAAAUCCUCAAGUGCUACUGUAGAUGAACUUUGAUACAAGUGCUAAUUCAAGUUUAAUAUAUAGCUUUUGUUAUUGAAAUUUGGAUAAUUAAAAAUAAUAUUUAAUAAUAUUCCUUUACUUAAUUAACGAAUACCAGAAAUAAACUUGUCAAAAUGUUUUAAAAAGGUUAAUAAAAGAUGAUAAAUGUUUUUGAAAGAAGAUACGGGAGUCGGUAAAGUGGAGAAAUGGGAGAGAAUUUAGUCCCCGCGUCGCUCGAAAUUCCAGAAAAAUUCGUCCCAAGUAGCAGGAGCGCACGUUAGGCGAGGAAGUUACUGGGGAUCCGGUAACCUCCUUGCUAUUGUGCGCUCCUAAUAACUCCGAAGCUCCGAAAAUCCGUUAAAUCUCGAUUAAAUACGAUUAAAAGGGCCCGAAAAAUAAUCGGAGUUAUUAGGAGCGCACAAUAGCAAGGAGGUUACCGGAUCCCCACAGUAACUUCCUCGCCUAACGUGCGCUCCUGCUACUUGGGACGAAUUUUUCCGGAAUUUCGAGCGGCGUGGGGACUAAAUUCUCUCCCAUUUACCACUUUACCGACUCCCUUUUAAUCAGUGGAUUUUAUUGUGCCUCAAGUAAUUCAACGAGAAACCUGACAUUUCCGUGUUAAAAACAAACCGAUAAAAUAUUAAGAGUUUAUCUACUUGUCGUGGGACAAGUCUGGGAUUGUCGUGAUACAAAGAUGUUGACUAUCGCAAUAAAACGUGACUUGCUGUUCAAAACAUUGGGUAAAACAGAUUGGAAUAAAAUUUAUUUAUUUGAGUUAUUGCUAAGACGGGAUUUGGUAUAUAUAAAUUAACCAAAUAUAUUUUAUACCUCGACACUUAAGGACUUGCACAAAACUCGCUAAAAAAGAUUUAUGCUCAUUUUACAUAUUAGACAAACAUCACGCUCUGACUGAGUGUCAAUGAAGCGAAUAGAGAAGGGGUGUGUUUGUUUGAAGGUACAUAGUAUGGCAUGUUACUGUGAUAGAAGUAAAAAGUCAUUAUAUGAAAUAUUUGCAUUAUAUGAAACACUCUUAACAGAAAAUAAGAAUAAUUAUACUUGCAUUAAACUGUACAAUAAUUACUUGUUUUUUUUUCUAU